AGGGGGAUAACUACUGGAAACGGUAGCUAAUACCGCAUAACGUCUUCGGACCAAAGUGGGGGACCUUCGGGCCUCACACCAUCGGAUGUGCCCAGAUGGGAUUAGCUAGUAGGUGAGGUAAUGGCUCACCUAGGCGACGAUCCCUAGCUGGUCUGAGAGGAUGACCAGCCACACUGGAACUGAGACACGGUCCAGACUCCUACGGGAGGCAGCAGUGGGGAAUAUUGCACAAUGGGCGCAAGCCUGAUGCAGCCAUGCCGCGUGUGUGAAGAAGGCCUUCGGGUUGUAAAGCACUUUCAGCGAGGAGGAAGGGUUCAGUGUUAAUAGCACNGUUCAUUGACGUUACUCGCAGAAGAAGCACCGGCUAACUCCGUGCCAGCAGCCGCGGUAAUACGGAGGGUGCAAGCGUUAAUCGGAAUUACUGGGCGUAAAGCGCACGCAGGCGGUUUGUUAAGUCAGAUGUGAAAUCCCCGAGCUUAACUUGGGAACUGCAUUUGAAACUGGCAAGCUAGAGUCUUGUAGAGGGGGGUAGAAUUCCAGGUGUAGCGGUGAAAUGCGUA
rnacentral:rRNA from 1 species